AAAAAGGUUUAAAACUUGGUAUUCCAAUGCAAUUGACAGGUUUCUUUACCUACGUCACCGACGUCCCCGGCAAUCAAACCACCGUCUCCGUCAUACAAGCCACCCUCAUUUCCUACUACUCCGAUUAAACCACCGACCAUUACACCACCAGUCAAACCCCCAACCACUCCGGUUCCACCCACAUCACCACCUACGUACAAACCUCCAACUGUUAAACCACCUACAACAACACCAGUCAAACCACCACCGGUUCAACCACCUUACAAACCCCCAACUCCACCGGUUAAGCCACCAACGUUAUCACCAGUCAAACCACCACCUGCCUACAAACCCCCUACACCAACGGUUAAACCACCAACAACACCAUCGGUUCAACCACCUAUGUACAAACCCCCAACGCCACCUGUUAAGCCACCCACGAUACCACCAGUCAAACCACCUACAGCGCCGGUUAAACCAACCCCAAUACCUCCAUAUAAGGCACCACCGGUCAAACCAACCCCACCACCGCCAGCUAAACCACCAGUCAACCCAAUCCCAUCACCUCCGGUCAAUGCACCACCUGUUAAGCCACCGUACAAACCUCCGACACCGCCUCCCGUCAGACCUCGGAUAAGUAAGUUAAGCUAAUAAUAUUUUUUUUGUAAUAUUGUAACGAUAAAUUGAUUAAAAAAUGUAACAUUGGACUACUUUUUCGGACGGUAUAUAGAUUGCGUGUCUUUAUGUGGGACUCGAUGUGGCCAACACUCGAGGAAGAACGUAUGUAUGAGAGCGUGCGUCACGUGCUGCUACCGCUGCAAGUGCGUUCCUCCUGGCACGUACGGUAAUAAGGAGAAGUGUGGAGCUUGUUACGUCAACAUGAAGACACGUGGUGGCAGACCCAAGUGUCCUUAAACCUUUUUAUUAACGAUGGUUAUUAAUGUGAAAAGGGUAUCACUAAAUCAAUGAUGUUUGAGAAAAAAUGGUGUUUUCAUAUAAGUUCGCAAUGCGUUUUAUUUUUGUCCUUUAUUUGUUUUAGUAAUAUUAUUGAUACUAUCAGAAGAUGCAGAACAUAUGAGUGUUGAACUUUAUUUGGGUAUAACUAAAAGAUGGAAAAUUUGCCCCUAUAAUCACAAAAAACAAUACAAAUUCACUAUCUAACAAAAUUGACACCCUCUCUUCCUUUCUCUUCCUAUAUCUCUCUAUCCUCUUUCUACAAAACAAAUUUUUUUUUUGGUUAUUUCAAGCCUUUAAAAGAUUAGCCGGGAAGUUCUUGAAGAUGAAAGAUACAUGGCUUAUCAAAUGAUUAAAUGGUCCAAUACCUUCUAAAAUAGAACCGGUGGCACGUCUUAUGGGUAUCUAUUGUCUACGUAAGUGACGAGAGUCGACAAUACUAAACAAAUCAUCAACCAGUAUUGAUACUGUCAUGCUACUGUUAAUACUCCCUCUGUUCCUAAAAGUAGGAUGUUUUAUAGACUUUUGAUGUUUCAAUAUAUAAGAUGUUUUCAUUUUCCAAGGUAACUUUUACUUUAUUAAAAAAUGUGUAUCCAAUCAUAUUUUAAUAGUCUAUUUUGUAAUUGGUUGAGUACAAUUAAUUUAUAGUUUUAAUGAUAUUUUCUAGACAAAAAGUAGUUUUCUUAAUAUGUGUGUUUCUACCUAAACAUCCUAUUUUCAGGAACAGAGGGAGUAUUUAUUAGAAAAAAAAGUUCAUCGAAACAAUGUAAAUGACCCAUGUGCUCUUGUCCAUCUUUGAUUUGAUAACACUUCAGAUUUUUAUAAGGACAUGUAAAAGCAUACUAGUAUAAGUUUAUAACGUAGAUAUUUCAAAUCAUUUUGCUGCAUGUUAGCAAAGCUAGAUAAAACGACGAGGGUUUUUUCACUGGUGCAAUAAUAUAAGCGACACAGCUUUAUGGGCAAAUCGAAUGCUAUAGUAAAAAUUAAUGUAUAUCCUAAAAAAAGUUUAUUAAUGUCAAAUUGUCAUCCACUGGUUUCUUGGGGUACGCAAACAUAUCCCAAUAUUUUCACCAUAGUUUUUUUUUUUAAACUUAAAAUUGAUUAUUUGUAUUGAUAAAAGUACUCCAAGUUGGUGUACGAAUAAAAAGGAAAGUUCAUGUAUUAUGAUAAAUUAUCCUUUUCAUGUACUAUAUUAUCUAGAGUAUCUAUACAACCCAUUUUGGGAAUCUGAUAUGUUGUUCCUCGGGGUCUGAGAAAUUAUGAUGCAGUGAAAGUUCAAAGCUGGCAUGCAUAUACAAUAACUACUCUGGACCUAGCACUUACUAUGGAUUAUAAUUAUUUCUUUGUAUUUUAUGGAUAAUAACGGGAAUUAAUAUUUAUUUUAUUAAAAGAACUUCUAUUUAUAGCACAAAAGGCCAUUGCUCUUCAACAUGAGACUUCACCACUUCCUCACCUCACACAGAAUGGCUCUCUCGCUUCUUUCAGUCUUCAUCUUUCUUCAAGUCUUUACCAAUGUAAGUUAUUAAUAAUUUUAAUGUUUUCAACUCUAUUAAGUGUGUGAAAGACUAGAAAUAGACUUCAAAUAGUAUCUAUUUACGCGCAUUAUGUGUUUGUACAUUUCAACUAACUAUAUAUUUUGAUUAAUCAUCGAGCAGGUUGUUUUUGCUGCUUCAAACGAGGAAUCCAAUGCAUUAGUAUGUUUCUAAAUUUCUUAUUUCCGCUCUAUUUAUUUAAAUGUGUAUACUUUAAGCAUUGGUUAGGCUAAUAUACUAUUUAUCACGUAAUAAAUGUAAAACUGCUUUUCUAAAAAAAGGUUUAAAACUUGGUAUUCCAAUGCAAUUGACAGGUUUCUUUACCUACGUCACCGACGUCCCCGGCAAUCAAACCACCGUCUCCGUCAUACAAGCCACCCUCAUUUCCUACUACUCCGAUUAAACCACCGACCAUUACACCACCAGUCAAACCCCCAACCACUCCGGUUCCACCCACAUCACCACCUACGUACAAACCUCCAACUGUUAAACCACCUACAACAACACCAGUUAAACCACCACCGGUUCAACCACCUUACAAACCCCCAACUCCACCGGUUAAGCCACCAACGUUAUCACCAGUCAAACCACCACCUGCCUACAAACCCCCUACACCAACGGUUAAACCACCAACAACACCAUCGGUUCAACCACCUAUGUACAAACCCCCAACGCCACCUGUUAAGCCACCCACGAUACCACCAGUCAAACCACCUACAGCGCCGGUUAAACCAACCCCAAUACCUCCAUAUAAGGCACCACCGGUCAAACCAACCCCACCACCGC
rnacentral:lncRNA from 1 species